UCCCAAGUGGUCUAUUGGUUAGGAUGCCGCCCUCUCACUGCGGCGGCCGGGAUUCGAUUCCCCGUUUUGGAA
rnacentral:tRNA from 1 species